AACCUGCGGUAAGGGAUCAUUA
rnacentral:rRNA from 1 species